AACGAACGCUGGCGGCAGGCUUAACACAUGCAAGUCGAGCGCCCCGCAAGGGGAGCGGCAGACGGGUGAGUAACGCGUGGGAAUCUACCGAGCCCUAAGGAAUAGCUCCGGGAAACUGGAAUUAAUACCUUAUACGCCCUUUGGGGGAAAGAUUUAUCGGGGUUUGAUGAGCCCGCGUUGGAUUAGCUAGUUGGUGGGGUAAAGGCCUACCAAGGCGACGAUCCAUAGCUGGUCUGAGAGGAUGAUCAGCCACAUUGGGACUGAGACACGGCCCAAACUCCUACGGGGGGCAGCAGUGGGGAAUAUUGGACAAUGGGCGCAAGCCUGAUCCAGCCAUGCCGCGUGAGUGAUGAAGGCCUUAGGGUUGUAAAGCUCUUUCACCGGUGAAGAUAAUGACGGUAACCGGAGAAGAAGCCCCGGCUAACUUCGUGCCAGCAGCCGCCGUAACAC
rnacentral:rRNA from 1 species